GCAUUGCUGAGGAGUCCCAUAAUAAGACGAAACAGCUGUUCAGUGC
rnacentral:hammerhead_ribozyme from 1 species